rnacentral:lncRNA from 1 species
GAGGGAGGGUGGGAGAGAGAGAGGGGGCAAUAAAUGAGGAGCAAUGGGGUCCAGGAUGGGCUUUAGGAGGUUUUACGAGGGGUGGAGCUCCUAAAGAAAUUAAAGCCUCCUAAAAGUUUUUAGUCACUUUUAGUCAUAGUGUUUGGCUCUUUAAUCCCUUUUAGUCACUUUUUAGGAUCUAAAAAUUUAGAAGGGUGGAAACAAAUAGGGCCUUAUUCUUGCCCACCUAGAAAGAGCAUUUCUGGCUCACUCGAGCUAGUAAUAGCUAGGAAAAUCUGGACAGCACAGGUUCCGAGGUGAUGUUACCAGGCAACCAAAAUCUAACACCACGCCCAUUAUCUUACCUAGCUAGGCAAUACAGUAACAGGGAAAAGUUCC